rnacentral:rRNA from 1 species
UUAGAGUUUGNUCCUGGCUCAGAUUGAACGCUGGCGGCAUGCUUUACACAUGCAAGUCGAACGGCAGCACGGGGGCAACCCUGGUGGCGAGUGGCGAACGGGUGAGUAAUAUAUCGGAACGUACCCAAGAGUGGGGGAUAACGUAGCGAAAGUUACGCUAAUACCGCAUACGAUCUAUGGAUGAAAGUGGGGGACCGCAAGGCCUCACGCUCCUGGAGCGGCCGAUAUCUGAUUAGCUAGUAGGUAGGGUAAAGGCCUACCUAGGCGACGAUCAGUAGCUGGUCUGAGAGGACGACCAGCCACACUGGAACUGAGACACGGUCCAGACUCCUACGGGAGGCAGCAGUGGGGAAUUUUGGACAAUGGGGGCAACCCUGAUCCAGCAAUGCCGCGUGAGUGAAGAAGGCCUUCGGGUUGUAAAGCUCUUUUGUCAGGGAAGAAACGGGAUUGGAUAAUACCUAGUCCUAAUGACGGUACCUGAAGAAUAAGCACCGGCUAACUACGUGCCAGCAGCCGCGGUAAUACGUAGGGUGCAAGCGUUAAUCGGAAUUACUGGGCGUAAAGCGUGCGCAGGCGGUUUUAUAAGUUUGUCGUGAAAGU